AAGCCUGACAGACUGUUUAUGGGUUUUGGCAGCAGAGUGAGGUCUGUGCACAAGAAGGGCCCAUGAGGGAAACUCCACAGAAGAAUCUGGAGCGAGAGAAGCCUGGCCUUGCUGGGAAAGGGCAGACUGGUGCAGAAGGGAGUGACCCUGCGUGCUUCCUGCAAUGACCAACGUGCUUCUCCGCCUCGACCCUGAGCGGAGCUGAAGGCACGUUCUGUCCCGACGGGACAAUAGCAUCUCCGUAAUUAUAUUACUAAAGAAAAAAAUUCUGCAUUUCGGAUUCCCUCAAAGCCAGCAGGACCACUGCAUGAAGAAGGUGACGGAACACAGAUGGCGUCAGACACGUGCCAAACGUCCCCUGCGGAGGAACACCUCCUCUGAGGGAAGUCAGGACAGGAGCAGCCCCGUGGAGAAUCCAAGCAGCGAGGUGCGGAAGCCUUCUUCCAGUCACCAGUGUUUUUGAAGGUCCUGAGAAUGCCCCCAAGUUUGAUGAUUGGCCAGAAGGACUCACAAGACUGAAGAGAAGGUUAUAGAUAACUGAGUAAAGCAGCAAAGAUAUUUUCACUGGGCAGAGUUCAGACACAGUCAGAAUGGGCUUUGGAACCUUUCAUCAGAGGCCACACAUGACGUGCUUUCUCUCCAACAGUGACUGAUAAGAACAUGUAUGGUAUGUGUCUACACAGGGAAUCCUGCUGGAGCCUCGGGGUCCAAAGUUUUUCUGGUGUGCUGGUCACAUGAACAUAUCUUGCUGUGCAACCAGCUGUGGCAACUGAAACUCAAGACCUCCACAGUGAAACUAGGUGCAUAACUUAAUUUUGAUAUUUGUGCAGAGAAACUUGACAAGCUAGUCCAGUCCUGCCCAUUUUUCCACGUAUACUCAAAUAAAAUCGUCAUCUGACACCUAAGGGUCUGUAUCCCCAGUGGUUGGCCAAGGGUCAUUCAUGGUUCCAGAUUCUUCUGGAGAUAUGCAAGGAAUAAACAACUAGAGCAGUUUUGUUAACCCUUUCCUUUCCACUAAGGUGGCCCACAUCAGUUAGCAUCAACUUCUAAGUAUGUUGAUGAAUGAGUCUUCAGAAAAUUCUAGCCUCUAAUCUUCCAGCUUAGGCCCCCAAAAUUGUGAAGCAGAAACAAGCAUUCCCCUCUAUGCUCUUGCAGAAUUCCUGAUUCACAAAAAAUUAUAACAAGUAAUAAAUGACUAUUGUUUGAAACCACCAAGUUUGGAGGAAGUAUGUUAUACAGCAAUAGACAAAUAACACAGGGUAAUAUUUUCUUGUUUCUUUGCAAACUGGCAUUUUAAAAAAAGGAUUUAGCUUAUUUAUUUGAGAGAGAGAGAGAGCACAAGCAGAGGGAGGGGCAGAGGGAGAAGGAAAAGAAGAUUCCCUCCCCAUUGAGUGGGGACCCCACAAAUCUGGCCAUUUUUUAUUGGACACCCAAUGCAAAAUUUAUGUUUCGGGACACUGGAUUUUGUUGUAUUUCAGUAAAUAGUGUUAGAUUUAGUUCAUGGUUCGCUAAGUUACUAUGAAUUUGUAAAAUCCUUUUGAGGAUUGUUUCUGUUAGGGUGAGUCCAGAGCAGCCUUUAGCUUUGGGCUAAUUUAUCUCCACUGCUAAACUGGUAACUUUCUCAACACUGUUUCAGUGUUUUGUUUGUUCAGCAAACCCUUUUGGUAAAGGGCC